CACGUAGGGCGCAAGCGUUGUCCGGAAUUAUUGGGCGUAAAGAGCUCGUAGGCGGUCUGUUACGUCUGCUGUGAAAACCCUGGGCUUAACCCUGGGCUUGCAGUGGAUACGGGCAGACUAGAGGCAGGUAGGGGAGAAUGGAAUUCCCGGUGUAGCGGUGAAAUGUGCAGAUAUCGGGAGGAACACCGGUGGCGAAGGCGGUUCUCUGGGCCUGACCUGACGCUGAGACGCGAAAGCGUGGGGAGCGAACAGG
rnacentral:rRNA from 1 species